AACAAACGCUGGCGGCGUGCCUAAUACAUGCAAGUCGAACGGGGAAAGCUUUCGGGUGAGUACUAGUGGCGCACGGGUGAGUAACGCGUGGAUAAUCUGCCUUAGAGUGGGGGACAACUAGUCGAAAGAUUAGCUAAUACCGCAUAAGACCACAAGAACUGCGGUUCAAGGGGUCAAAGGUUUUUUCGCUCUAAGAUGAGUCCGCGUAAGAUUAGCUAGUUGGUGAGGUAAUGGCUCACCAAGGCGACGAUCUUUAACUGGUCUGAGAGGAUGAUCAGUCACACUGGAACUGAGACGCGGUCCAGACUCCUACGGGAGGCAGCAGUAGGGAAUAUUGCACAAUGGAGGAAACUCUGAUGCAGCGACGCCGCGUGAGUGAUGAAGGCCUUCGGGUCGUAAAGCUCUGUCGCAAGGGAAUAACACAAUGAAUGUACCUUGCAAGAAAGGAUCGGCUAACUUCGUGCCAGCCGCCGCCGUAAUAC
rnacentral:rRNA from 1 species